GUUAUUGUAGAGCUCCAGUCAGCAGAAUCCCUGGCGCUGCUUUCUGUCGCCUCCACACGGAUAUUCCCGUUCGGUUCUGUCGGGGCUCUGUCGCCUCCACACGGAUACUCCCGUUCGGUUCUGUCGGGGCUCUGUCGCCUCCACACGGAUACUCCCGUUCGGUUCUGUCGGGGCUCUGUCGCGGACGGCAACUAUGGCUGAUGCGGGAGAAGCCGGCGAAGAUGAAAUCCAGUUCUUACGAACCGAAUAUUGUCACACCCAAUGUGACUGCCUUUUGGUCCACAGUCUGUGUCUGGUCUUGGAUGACACAUAGAGUAUGCUGAAGAGGGUGGGGCUCAAACUGCAUUAAUCAGUGUAAUGGACCCUCUCACCUCCUUCUACAGUGUAAUGGACCCUCUCAUCUCCUUCUACAGU
rnacentral:lncRNA from 1 species